GGCCAGACUCCUACGGGAGGCAGCAGUGGGGAAUAUUGCACAAUGGGGGAAACCCUGAUGCAGCAACGCCGCGUGAGUGAAGAAGUAUUUCGGUAUGUAAAGCUCUAUCAGCAGGGAAGAAGAUGACGGUACCUGAUUAAGAAGCCCCGGCUAACUACGUGCCAGCAGCCGCGGUAAUACGUAGGGGGCAAGCGUUAUCCGGAUUUACUGGGUGUAAAGGGGGCGCAGACGGCGAUGCAAGCCAGGAGUGAAAGCCCGGGGCCCAACCCCGGGACUGCUCUUGGAACUGCGUGGCUGGAGUGCAGGAGGGGCAGGCGGAAUUCCUGGUGUAGCGGUGAAAUGCGUAGAUAUCAGGAGGAACACCGGUGGCGAAGGCGGCCUGCUGGACUGCAACUGACGUUGAGGCCCGAAAGCGUGGGGAGCAAACAGGAUUAGAUACCCCAGUA
rnacentral:rRNA from 1 species